rnacentral:tRNA from 1 species
GGGGUUGUGGCUUAGUGGUAGAGCGCUCACCUCACAUGUUCGAGUCCCUGAGUUUGGUCCUCAGCACCACA